UGCAAAGUCGAGCGGUAGAGUGACUUCGGUUGCUUGAGAGCGGCGCACGGGUGAGUAACGCGUACAUGACCUACCUUUAAGACUGGGAUAGCCCUGGGAAACUGGGAUUAAUACCGGAUGUGAUAAUACGUAUAGAGAUGUAUUAUUAAAGUUGAGGCGCUUAGAGAUGGAUGUGCGUCUGAUUAGCUAGUUGGUAGGGUAACGGCCUACCAAGGCUACGAUCAGUAGGGGGCGUGAGAGCGUGGCCCCCCACACGGGUACUGAGACACGGACCCGACUCCUACGGGAGGCAGCAGUAAGGAAUAUUGGUCAAUGGACGGAAGUCUGAACCAGCCAUCCCGCGUGCAGGAUGACUGCCCUAUGGGUUGUAAACUGCUUUUAGCAGAGACGAAACGCCUUCAUUUAUGAGGGUCUGACGGUAUCUGCAGAAUAAGCACCGGCUAACUCCGUGCCAGCAGCCGCGGUAAUACGGAGGGUGCAAGCGUUAUCCGGAAUCACUGGGUUUAAAGGGUGCGUAGGCGGAUAUUUAAGUCAGUGGUGAAAUCUUGUCGCUUAACGAUAAAAUUGCCAUUGAUACUGAAUGUCUUGAAUUGGGUUGAGGUUAGCGGAAUGUGACAUGUAGCGGUGAAAUGCAUAGAUAUGUCAUAGAACACCGAUUGCGAAGGCAGCUAACGAAACUAUAACUGACGCUGAGGCACGAAAGUGCGGGGAUCAAACAGGAUUAGAUACCCUGGUAGUCCGCACCGUAAACGAUGAUUACUCGUCGUUGGCGAUAUGACAGUCAGCGACCAAGCGAAAAGCGAUAAGUAAUCCACCCUGGGGAGUACGCCGGCAACGGUUGAAACUCAAAGGAAUUGACGGGGGGGCCCGCACAAGCGGAGGAGCAUGUGGGUUUAAUUUCGAUGAUACGCGAGGAAACCUUACC
rnacentral:rRNA from 1 species